CGCGGCCUAUCAGCUUGUUGGUGAGGUAAUGGCUCACCAAGGCGACGACGGGUAGCCGGCCUGAGAGGGCGACCAGCCACACUGGGACUGAGGCACGGCCCAGACUCCUACGGGAGGCAGCAGUGGGGAAUAUUGCACAAUGGGCGAAAGCCUGAUGCAGCGACGCCGCGUGAGGGAUGACGGCCUUCGGGUUGUAAACCUCUUUCGGCAGGGAAGAAGCGAAAGUGACGGUACCUGCAGAAGAAGCGCCGGCUAACUACGUGCCAGCAGCCGCGGUAAUACGUAGGGCGCAAGCGUUGUCCGGAAUUAUUGGGCGUAAAGAGCUCGUAGGCGGCUUGUCACGUCGGGUGUGAAAGCCCGGGGCUUAACCCCGGGUCUGCAUUCGAUACGGGCUAGCUAGAGUGUGGUAGGGGAGAUCGGAAUUCCUGGUGUAGCGGUGAAAUGCGCAGAUAUCAGGAGGAACACCGGUGGCGAAGGCGGAUCUCUGGGCCAUUACUGACGCUGAGGAGCGAAAGCGUGGGGAGCGAACAGGAUUAGAUACCCUGGUAGUCCACGCCGUAAACGGUGGGAACUAGGUGUUGGCGACAUUCCACGUCGUCGGUGCCGCAGCUAACGCAUUAAGUCCCCGC
rnacentral:rRNA from 1 species